rnacentral:rRNA from 1 species
GUCCCGCAACGAGCGCAACCCUUGAUCUUAGUUGCCAGCAUUCAGUUGGGCACUCUAAGGUGACUGCCGGUGACAAACCGGAGGAAGGUGGGGAUGACGUCAAAUCAUCAUGCCCCUUAUGACCUGGGCUACACACGUGCUACAAUGGACAGAACAAAGGGCAGCGAAACCGCGAGGUUAAGCCAAUCCCACAAAUCUGUUCUCAGUUCGGAUCGCAGUCUGCAACUCGACUGCGUGAAGCUGGAAUCGCUAGUAAUCGCGGAUCAGCAUGCCGCGGUGAAUACGUUCCCGGGCCUUGUACACAC